rnacentral:rRNA from 1 species
AUGGAUGCUGACCACGGUGAACUUCCAAUCACAACUGGAGAUGGAAGAACCACUGUCACGGCCCGCUUUAUAAAGGGAGUUGACAAAAGGGCCACCAUCACUAAAGGCUGGAGCGACUUCUUCCGUUGGACCCACAUGAACGAAGGGCAAGCAUAUGCUUUCGGCUUCAAAUGCACUUCCAAGGGAUUGCACCUGAUUGUCUACUCAAUAUAA